rnacentral:rRNA from 1 species
CGGACGGGUGAGUAACGCGUAGGAACCUGACGCGCAUGGGGGAUAACGCUGGGAAACCGGCGCUAAUACCGCAUGUGGUCGCAAGAAGAAAGCAGCAAUGCGCUGUGUGAGGGGCCUGCGUCCGAUUAGCUAGUUGGUGGGGUAAAGGCGUACCAAGGCACCGAUCGGUAGCUGGUCUGAGAGGAUGAUCAGCCACACUGGGACUGAGACACGGCCCAG